AGUGGAUGUGAUCUACUUGGAUUUUGCCAAGGCAUUUGAUACGGUUCCUCACAAUAGGUUAGUCUUCAAACUAAAAGAAAUUGGUCUAGAUGAAUAUUCUUGUUCUUGGGUAGAACAUUGGCUUAAGGAUAGAGUACAACGAGUUGUAAUUAAUGGUAAAUUUCAGGCUGGACAAAAGUGGUAAGUGAUGUCCCUCAGGGUUCUGUUUUGGGACCACUUUUAUUUAACAUAUUUAUAAAUGAUCUUGAAAUAGGCAUUGAAAGCCAUGUAUCAGUGUUUGCAG